CUGCUCCUAGUACGAGAGGACCGGAGUGGACGCAUCACUGGUGUUCGGGUUGUCAUGCCAAUGGCACUGCCCGGUAGCUAAAUGCGGAAGAGAUAAGUGCUGAAAGCAUCUAAGCACGAAACUUGCCCCGAGAUGAGUUCUCCCUGAGACUUAGAGUCUCCUGAAGGAACGUUGAAGACGACGACGUUGAUAGGCCGGGUGUGUAAGCGCAGCGAUGCGUUGAGCUAACCGGUACUAAUGAACCGUGAGGCUUAACCUUACAACGCCGAAGCUGUU
rnacentral:rRNA from 1 species